rnacentral:rRNA from 1 species
AGUGAACGCUGGCGGUAGGCCUAACACAUGCAAGUCGAACGGCAGCACAGGAGAGCUUGCUCUCUGGGUGGCGAGUGGCGGACGGGUGAGGAAUACAUCGGAAUCUACUCUGUCGUGGGGGAUAACGUAGGGAAACUUACGCUAAUACCGCAUACGACCUACGGGUGAAAGCAGGGGACCUUCGGGCCUUGCGCGAUUGGAUGAGCCGAUGUCGGAUUAGAUAGUUGGCGGGGUAAAGGCCCACCAAGGCGACGAUCCGUAGCUGGUCUGAGAGGGUGAUCAGCCACACUGGAACUGAGACACGGUCCAGACUCCUACGGGAGGCAGCAGUGGGGAAUAUUGGACAAUGGGCGCAAGCCUGAUCCAGCCAUACCGCGUGGGUGAAGAAGGCCUUCGGGUUGUAAAGCCCUUUUGUUGGGAAAGAAAUCCAGCUGGCUAAUACCCGGUUGGGAUGACGGUACCCAAAGAAUAAGCACCGGCUAACUUCGUGCCAGCCGCCGCAGUAA